AGUCGUGAGUUUUAGUCGUGAGAUGCUACAGAAAAAUAAAGAAAAUGGCAAAAUAUGCACUAUUUGACUUUCCGGAUGAAGGGGCUGUGGACAUAGGCGAAAUAUCAUGGGUGGUAGGCGAAGUAAAUUUAAAAGAUCCUUUUGUAACGUAUAAAGUUAAUUGGCCAAACAAGGGAAGGAUUGUGUCAUGUCCAGACAGAUUAUAUCAGUCAGUGACAACAGAGAGGAGUUAGUUUGCAAGAGGAGGCAUUAUCUUCAUGGUGGAGACAAACUGUCGAGCCCGGAGUAGAAAGGGAAGGGGAAAAGGAAGAAACUGAAGAAUGGUCGAGAAAGGGAAGGGGAAAAGGAAGAAACUGAAGAAUGGUCGAUAUUCUGACGACGACGACGACGACGUAGUAUCGCUGGUAGGAUCCUCAGUUAAUUCAAUGUGAGAAGAAGAAGAAGAGAAAAAACACAGGUCUUAACGUCUUAAUGGAACUAGAAAAGCAAGGUAUUGGUGCAGUGAUGUACAAAUAUUUACCGUAUGGAAGUGCUUCUUAACAUCAGUGAAUUAUUGUAAUGUGAUGUAGCCUAAUGUUGUCUGUCAUAUUGUACACCAUGGGGUCGCCAACUGGCCUGCUUUGCCUGGCCUGUCAGAUCAUUUUGACUUUUUGCUUUCUGUCAAAAAUUAAGCAUAUUAACAAGAUUAGAUUUGAGUAUUCAUCUCCUGUUCCGCCUGCAUUGUCUACUCGCUCAGGCUCAUCCCCCAUGCUGACCUCUGUUGUACAGUCUUGAUGUAACCCUUAACUCUAUCUUCUGUUUGUCGUAGGAUCAUGUCAGCUGAACUCAAUUAACGAAACCAGGAAUGAAGUAAACUGUCUGCACUUAAUGUUCUACCUACAAUUAAAGUUUUUAUUUCCUAACUCUAUAGUAUAGGGAUAGAUACAGCAAUAUAUUCCUGUAAUCUAUCAGCUGUGAGCUUUGUACCCUCUAACGGGCUUCUGUAGGUAUUUGCCCAGGUGUAUGUCAGUCAGUUUUGUUUUUUUAAUGGAAUUUUUAUUUUCAGUGCCAUCACCCAUCUUGUGAGCUGUUGAGGGAGAACAACCACAGGCUGCAGAGGGAAAAUGAUUCUCUCUAGGCAAAAAUAGCAACAUUGAAAUUGCUGCCAGACGCUUUGCAGAAGAUGGAGGAGUUUCUCCGCUCAGCACCAAGACCAACGACAACACCAAUACCAACACCAAGACCAGAACCAUCACUAUCACCAGCACCAACAGCAGUUCCACCACCAGCAACAGAAGACCCAUCACCAGCUCCAGGUCCAUCAUCAGCAUCAGCAACAGAGGCCCUGGGCCACUCUGUCAUUCCAAAAGGACUUGUGGAGCGCUGCUCCUUCCAAAGCCCCCAGAAGUUCAUAAAUGAUCUCCUACAUGGGAUGUAUACCAGGGAAUAUAUGGCAGGCCAUUCAGUGACUGGCCAGUCAUCCAGCAGCUGCACAGAAGGAAAACCUGGCCUAGCCAAACAGGACCUUGUUGAAAUAACAAAUGCUGCAAAGUUGAAGUUCACCUACGUAACUGAUACGAACAUAAAAGCAUUUAUACGACAAAAGCUGAACAAUGCUGCCAAAUUUCAGAAACAAUAAAUUAUCAACUGUUAAA